AUGGUUCGUGUAUAUAUUUUACAGAAACGUGAAAUCAAAGUUGGGGAUAAAGUAGCCGGAAGACAUGGGAAUAAAGGGAUCAUUUCCAAAAUUUUGCCUAGGCAAGAUAUGCCCUAUUUGCAAGAUGGAACACCCGUUGAUAUGGUCUUCAAUCCCUUAGGAGUACCCUCCCGAAUGAAUGUGGGACAAAUAUUUGAAAGCUCGCUCGGAUUAGCGGGGGAUCUGCUAAAGAAACAUUAUAGAAUAGCACCAUUUCACCAUCAAGGCAUCUUGAAAGUGAAUCGUAUUCCAUGA
rnacentral:rRNA from 1 species